ACACAGCGAGAGAGGGAACACAAGCAGAGGGAGUGGGAGAAGGAGAAGCAGGCUUCCCGUGGAGCAGGGAGCCCAAAGCGGGGCUCCAUCCCAGGACCCUGGGAUCAUGACCUGAGCCAAAGGCAGACGCUUAACGACUGAGCCACCCAGGCACCCUUGUGGAAAGGGGUGAAGUCAGGUUCUCCACUAAACGCGUUCCUGGCCACAUGGACUGUAUAACCACGUGACUUGCCAUUCUGGAGGGGUCCUUGGUGAGCUUCUCGGGUGCCCGUGCAGAAGAUAAUGCCGAAGGGUGCUGUCCCUGAAGUGGGUUCUGCAGCAUCUCCUUGGCUACGAUGUGGCCUUGGAUCAUCCUUGGUCAGCAGCUGCACCUCUGUAUGCCUUACAGGGCUGCCUGAUAUUCCACAUAGACUUGGCUACUUCCUCUUUGGAACGUGACUAAUUCCAUUCACUUCUGACCCCCGAACAGAAUUUUUGAAACUCCAGGCCAGAAGGCUGAAACGGAAGUAGUGGCCAUCUUUGAUGGAAAAUGAAGCAAGUGACACAGAUGCAUGGCUUUAUGAAGUUCUUCUUCUCCCACCAGUAACAAAAUUGCCUUGAGGUCGUGUGCAUGAGAUUGCUUUCUCUGCUCACAGAAAAGUUCAACUCAGCUCUCUGGUGCUUCUUUAAUGACUUCGAACUGCCAGCAUAGAACAUGCCCAGUGAACACCAAGAAAAAUCCCUGGCGUCAUAAGACAUUGGCUUCAAACAUUCUGGGAAACCCCAACAGGGUUAUUAAACUGACGAAAACAAGAAACAAUGAAAUAGUUCCUUUUAAUCUACAUGGAGACCGUGUCCAAUAUUUCUCUACGUUCUUCCUCCACCCGGGAGCCUUUUAUUUAAAAUUUAGCAGUCAUGGAUGUACUCAUGAGAGACGAGGUAUUUUUCAGAAUCAGGCUGCCCGUUAGAAAUGCUUACUCUGAAAUUCUGCCCCUCCCAGGCUGUCAGGAGAGUUUUUAGGAUCUCUUGGUUAUUAUAUAUAAGUUGAAAAUUCCCUGCCGAGGUACACCUUUUACUAAUUAAUUGUUGGCAAUAGCCACAUAUUACAAAUGCCAUACAAAUAGACCUUGUUUUGCAGUUGUUUCGAAACAUUCUUGCUUGUCUUCUUGGUCAUUCUAAAGAAUCACAGGAGGACAUUUUAAAGAGAAUGCUUAACUUUCCCUAAGAGGUGUUUGUGCUAAGAAUCAAUCUCUAUAUUAUAAUAAGAUGUUAAAAUGAGGCUCUUCCAGACUUAAUAUCUACAGACAUGAUCAUGUGAGAACUAUUAGAUACCAAAUAUGCAGAACCCCACCUGCAGAGUUUUUGAAGGAUAUUGUGGAAGACCAGCUCUCUGGCUCUUCAGUCUUUGUAGGAUCAAGGAUACAUAAAUAAGAAUCAGAAAAAAAAAAAAAAAGAAUCAGAAAGAGGAGAAACGGUGCAACCACUUUGGAAAACAAUUUGGCAGUUUCCUCAUAAGUUAAAUAUAAAUUUACCAUAUGUCCCAGAAAUUCCACUCUUAGAAAUCUACCAAGAAAAAUGAAAGCAUAUGUCCACACAGAGCCCUGUGCACACAUGUCGAUAGCAGCAUUAUUCAUGACGGCCAAAUCUGAAAACAAGCAAAAUGACCCAAGGAAUGGAUAAAUGGACUGUGGUACAUCUGUAUAAUAGAAUGCUAUUUGGCAAUAAAAGAAAGAAUACUGAAACACGCUGUAACUUGGGUAAACCUCAAAAAUAUUACACUAAGUGAAAGAAGCAGGAGACCACAUAUUGUAUCAUUCCAUUGGUAUGAAGUGUCCAGAAAAGGCAAAUCUAUAGAGACAGAAAGUAGAUUAGUGGUUGCCUAGACCUAAGUGUAGGAAAAGGUAGUGAUUGAAAAGGAUCUUUUUGGGGUGAUGAAUAUGCCUAUUUUAACAUCUUGUUAUAAUAUAAAGAUUGAUUCUCAGUACAAAUGCCUCCUGGGAAAAGUUAAGCACUCCUUAAAAAUUUGAUGGUAAGUAAAUUAAACCUGCUUUUAAAAAUGGAGAAAGUAGAAGAGAGGUUCAAUAGACCUCACUAGCCACAGGUGUCUGGUCCAAAUUGAGAAGUGCUGAAAUUGUUAAAAUACAUGCUAGAUUUCAAAGAGUUAGCAUG